AGUAAAGUGCCUGACUAAAGGAUUGUUUUGAUAGAACAAAUAAUGUACAAUAUACCUUUACUA
rnacentral:tRNA from 1 species